GACGAACGCUGGCGGCGUGCUUAACACAUGCAAGUCGAACGGUAAGGCCCUUCGGGGUACACGAGUGGCGAACGGGUGAGUAACACGUGGGUGAUCUGCCCUGCACUUCGGGAUAAGCCUGGGAAACUGGGUCUAAUACCGGAUAGGACCACUGCCUGCAUGGGUGGUGGUGGAAAGCUUUUGCGGUGUGGGAUGGGCCCGCGGCCUAUCAGCGUGUGGGUGGGGUGGUGGCCUACCAAGGCGACGACGGGUAGCCGGCCUGAGAGGGUGACCGGCCACAAUGGGACUGGGAUACGGCACAGACUCCUACGGGGGGCAGCAGUGGGGAAUAUUGCACAAUGGGCGCGAGCCUGAUGCAGCGACGCCGCGGGAGGGAUGACGGCCUUCGGGUUGUAAACCUCUUUCAGCACCGACGAAGCGCAAGUGACGGUAGGUGCAGAAGAAGGACCGGCCAACUACGUGCCAGCCGCCGCAGUAA
rnacentral:rRNA from 1 species